AUUUCCAUCUUACUUUCCACAAUCCUUAACUUGCGGGCACACUCCUAAAUGAAAGCACAUUCACAACUCAUCUUAGACUCAUACCUGCACUCAGAUCUCACAGCAUUUCCUUAUUCCUCUAUGAAUAAUUGAACAGUGUCUGUGUGCAUUCUCCUGAACCAAUGUGCUGUUCUUUGUCUAAAACAACCUAAGAGUGAGUUGGGAAUAUCAUCCUUCCUGUGGAGUAGCUGUGGCAGGAGACUGACGAUCCGACACUGAGACAGUGGAGGUGUGUGAUGGGGACGCUGGGCUGAUGUGUGGGAUGGAGGGUGUGAAGUGGAUUGUCGACUUCAAUCGGCAUCAUAUCAACAUCUCGAUUCCCCCCUGAGCCCGGCGGAGCCGAGACAAGUUAAGCAGUGGCAGAGAAAGGAGUAAUGAAUUGGGUGGGCUUCUCUUCUGUCACAAACAGUGACUCAGAUGAUAUGUGGGAGCAAUAAAAGGAUUACUCAAAGCAGAAACUCCCUCUGUGCCUGCAAACCAUUCAGACAAGUUGCUCCCAAACUUUAGAAUUCUAACCUCAAGUCCAUACAUGUAAUUAUAACCCUGUCUUUUUUCAUACAAUACCAUAACUCUCAUUCCAAGAGAUCGCCCCUCCACCAUCAUUAGAAAUCAGAUAACCAUCAUUAUUUAAUCAUCUUGUCAUGUAUAAUUAUUCAAUCUUUAUGUAUUAACAAAUAAAAAAAGUUUAUUUCCUUUCAAUUAGCCAAACAUUAUACAUAGAUUUUCAAAACGUAUAUUCUCUGUUGUUUAAGCUCCUGCUCCUGUAUUUGAUGUGUUGCACAUUUUCCAAUUUCCAGUACACACAUUUACACAAACCCUCCUAAGAAAAGGCAAGCGGUCUCCCAGUGUUCCAUGUGGCUAAUUUCCCAUAAUCACUUGUGGGCUAGACUGGCACCGCAGUGGCUCAUCGCACGGCUUCAAUAGAGCAUAAUCCAGCCUGCCGUUCCACACAGCCCGCCAACACGACGCAUCAGACGCAUCAGCUGGCAUCCCGCCUCACCCUCCGCCUGGCAUCUCCAGAAUUUCUGUCCAUAUGAUUGAGAAGGAGUGUGUCAGUGCGUGCGUGUGUGUGUGAAUAUAGCAAAGUGAGAUCAAAAAUAGAAAAGCCAUGCCUUCUGCAGAAUAAGCAAUUGAGUUUUUGGCUUAGAUCAUGCAUUUGCUCAGAAAAGCCGACUGCCAGCUGAGUCCAUGCUGAGAUGAAAUAUGUGUGUAUGUAUGUAUGCGUGUGUGUGUUUGUUUGUGUGUGUGUGUGUGUGUGUGUGUGUGCACAUCCUGAACUGAACUGGAAGUAGA
ensembl:lncRNA